UACGUAGGGCAGCGAGCGUUGUUCGGAAUUACUGGGCGUAAAGAGUGUGUAGGCGGGUCUUUUAAGUCAGGGGUGAAAUCCUGGAGCUCAACUCCAGAACUGCCUUUGAUACUGAAGAUCUUGAGUUCGGGAGAGGUGAGUGGAACUGCGAGUGUAGAGGUGAAAUUCGUAGAUAUUCGCAAGAACACCAGUGGCGAAGGCGGCUCACUGGCCCGAUACUGACGCUGAGGCACGAAAGCGUGGGGAGCAAACAGGG
rnacentral:rRNA from 1 species